AAUUGCAAAUUCACAUCUCAUCCGUCCCGCCGCCGGGUUGAUGCUAGAACAGAACUCAUCGACGACCCGCUUCUUUACGAACCCGAAUGUUCUUGAUCCCCAAAAAUCAACGGAUCUACACUUCGAGCGGGAGAUUUAGGGUUUAAGAUUUCAUUCAUACAAUCUCCCGGAAUCAAUUUCUUCGAAUUCGAAACAUAUUUCCGCUACACGCUUGAUAAUUGGCUCAAUCUUUGCGUUCAGUACAGCUUCCAGUGUGCACUGCUCACAGAUUUUGAUAUUCUGCGAGGCGCUGAAACAUGACUGAGUAUUGGGUUAGCCAAGGUAACAAAUGGUGCGACUUCUGCAAAAUAUUUAUUUCAAAUAAUCCUUCCACAAUCCGGAAUCAUGAGCUCGGAGAACGUCAUAAGGACAAUGUUGCCAAAAGGCUUGCAAACAUGAGAAAAGAGAAUGCUGCCAAGGACAAGGAACAAAAGGAAGCAGUACGCGCGGUUGAGCAAAUUGAGGCAAAAGCUAAGCGUAGUUAUCAGAAGGACAUAGCAAAUUUCCGGGAAGCUAGAGAUUCUCAUGCACUUCCUGUUGAUGUUCAAGAAAAUGAAGAGAAAUGGGAGCUUGACAGCACUACAGGCUAUUAUUACAAUGAAAGCAAUGGUUUUUACUAUGACUCAAAUUCCGGCUUCUACUACUCUGAUGCUAUUGGCAAGUGGGUAACACAGGAAGAGGCACAUGCUUCGCCUCAGUUUUUCUUGAACUCCAAACAUAAGAAACCAGUUUUAGAGAACCCAUCGUCGGCCUCUGCAAGUGCAGCUACAAAAGACAAAAAUGUGGAUAAAGGGGAAAGCGGGCCUCCGCCUGGGUUGGUUGUUUCAGCUUCUUCAAAACCCAAGCGAUCGGUUAAAGGUGCUCCUUCAUCGAUUGCUGUUGGUAAGAGGAAGAGGCCAAAUGAGAAGCAAAAGGUCAUAUCUGAAGAAGAAAAGGCUGCACUUAAAGCAAGGGAGGCUGCAAAGAAGAGAGUUGAACAGAGGGAGAAGCCACUUCUCGGCCUUUACAAAUUGCCUUGAAAUAGGCCGUUGUCUCAAAUUACUUAACAUGAGCUGGAAGAGCAUUACUGUAUGGAACUUCCCAAAGCUUUACAAGUUCCUCUAUCACCUUGUUCUUCUUAUAUAUUGCUGCUUUAUUGUGGGGUUUACAUGCAUUCAUUCGUCACCAGGAAUAUGAUAUAGUCUGUCUAAGAUUUGCUCCAUCCAUGUAUAUGCUUGGUUUUCUGAAACUAUGAGAAUCAUUUGAGGGAAGAAAAUCCAUGGUCAAUCAAUUUGCAGGCAUGAAACGAUCUUGCUUUCUCGAUUGAGCAGAAUCGUGUACUGUCGAAAGCACAUGGACGUGAAGAAAUCUCCCUAGUAUCGGCUAUGGCGGUAUCUUCUGUUCAGAAACCAAGGGCUUAUACAAGGAUAAUUGAGAGCAUGAAAUCCUAGAUGAACUAACUUUUUGUCAGCUCAUCCAUCACAAAAGGACUUCAACUGGUUUGUGCCGACUUGUUAUAUACAGUAAUGUUAGUCAUCAACCAACCCCUUGUUUUAUAUUCUGCAUUUUCAUGUCCUUGACAUUCAAACUCCUUGCCUUGAAUCUUAAAGCUUUGCAUUUGUGUUGUAAUUUUCUAGUUCAUUCAUACUAAUCCUCAUUCUGGUAGCAAUGGUUGAUCAAGUAGUUGAGAUUAA